AUCAGCUUGUUAACUUCAAUUCUUCCUUACUUGUAUCUAUCUUUCAAUAUGUGGCUCCCAUCAGUUCUGAACUCGGGUUGUUAGGUUGCUAAGAUAUCAUGGACAUGAUCCAAGCCCGUGUGGAUAAACUGGGGUGGAGAUGGACCUAACCAAAUGGCCCAAAAGUCAUGUUAGUACAUAGUAGUUCACUAAGGCCCUCCUGUACUGAUCAUAUCAGAAGUACCUUUCCAAUGCAGGAUUUGGGAUGUUACAUUUAUAGAAGUAUCUUGAUUGCCAAAUUUGCUGCAUUACAAUUCUGCCUGUUCAUUUUAUAUUAAAAUUUAUUAGUAAUGCUACUGACCACACUUUUCUAUGCUCGUUCUCUUUGAGCACUUCUGGACCCUGGUAGCCAUGUCUUUAUGUUGACAAGUGACCAUAGAUUUUGAAAAAGUCUG
rnacentral:misc_RNA from 1 species